GAAAGAUGGUUUCGGCUAUCGCUUACAGAUGGGCCCGCGGUGCAUUAGCUAGUUGGUAGGGUAAUGGCCUACCAAGGCAACGAUGCAUAGCCGACCUGAGAGGGUGAUCGGCCACACUGGGACUGAGACACGGCCCAGACUCCUACGGGAGGCAGCAGUAGGGAAUCUUCCGCAAUGGACGAAAGUCUGACGGAGCAACGCCGCGUGUAUGAAGAAGGUUUUCGGAUCGUAAAGUACUGUUGUUAGAGAAGAACAAGGAUAAGAGUAACUGCUUGUCCCUUGACGGUAUCUAACCAGAAAGCCACGGCUAACUACGUGCCAGCAGCCGCGGUAAUACGUAGGUGGCAAGCGUUGUCCGGAUUUAUUGGGCGUAAAGCGCGCGCAGGCGGUCUUUUAAGUCUGAUGUGAAAGCCCCCGGCUUAACCGGGGAGGGUCAUUGGAAACUGGAAGACUGGAGUGCAGAAGAGGAGAGUGGAAUUCCACGUGUAGCGGUGAAAUGCGUAGAUAUGUGGAGGAACACCAG
rnacentral:rRNA from 1 species